CUCUUUGGUUUCCUAGCUGUAUGAUAGCACUAAUUCUGUGUGGAAUUAACCAGAUAAUUUCCAAUCAUAAAGCUAGCUUACCAAAGUA
rnacentral:pre_miRNA from 1 species